rnacentral:misc_RNA from 1 species
UUUCCGUAGGUGAACCUGCGGAAGGAUCACUAAAGUUAUAGUCCCCCGGCCCCUCCGGGCUGGGGUCUUCUAUACCACCCUUUGUUUAUUACACCUUUGUUGCUUUGGCAGGCCUGCCCUCGGGCUGCUGGCUCCGGCCGGCUCGUGCCUGCCAGAGGACCUAAACUCUGUUUGUAUAUGAAGUCUGAGUACUAUAUAAUAGUUAAAACUUUCAACAACGGAUCUCUUGGUUCUG